GCAGCAUCGUAAAUAAUGAGUUUAGGAGCUCCUCCAGGUUUCUGUAACAGUGCACCCACCCUCACUGUCCUGUCCCCCGCUAGAGAGGAACUGUCCAGUACAACAACAGCCACACUGACGUGUCUGGCCAACAAGGGCUUCCCCUCAGACUGGACCUUGAGCUGGAAAGUGGACGGGACCAGCCAGAAGCAGGAGGCCAGUCCUACGGUCCUGGAGAAUGAUGGCCUGUACAGCUGGAGCAGCACCCUGACUCUCACUGCCCAGGAGUGGACCAAGGCAGGAGAGGUGACCUGUGAAGCCCAGCAGAAAUCCCAGACUCCAGUCACCAAGACCUUGAGGAGAGCUGACUGUUCUGGGUAGAACCCCUCAGUGACACAACCCUGUGGAGGGAGGCUGCGGGUUCCUCUGCUUUGACUCUGUUCUGAGAUCAGAUAUUCUAUGUCUUGUUGAUCACUAACAUGUAGACUAACAGAGGGCUUUGCUUGAUUUCAUGUGUCAAUCCUCUCUGUAGACUGAGGUUGUAUCAGUGUUAAAUGUGAUGUGUUCUGUUUUAUUACUAUUAGAUACUGUAGGAAUGUUUGCUUUGAUGAAAAUAAAGAUUUCCCUUUGGAACAAA